rnacentral:rRNA from 1 species
UACGUAGGGAGCAAGCGUUGUCCGGAAUCAUUGGGCGUAAAGCGCGCGUAGGUGGCCUCAUAAGUCCGCUGUGAAAGUCAAAGGCUCAACCUUUGAAAGCCGGUGGAUACUGUGGGGCUAGAGUACGGAAGAGGCGAGUGGAAUUCCUGGUGUAGCGGUGGAAUGCGCAGAUAUCGGGAAGAACACCCGUGGCGAAGGCGGCUCUCUGGGACGGUACUGACGCUGAGACGCGAAAGCGUGGGGAGCGAACAGG